rnacentral:lncRNA from 1 species
AUUACUAGUGAUAUGAUUUGAAUUAAAAGAAUUAAUGUGGUAUUGAAACGCAUAUUGGAUUGAGAAAUUGAUUUGAAUUGUGAAUAUGAGAAAUUGUGAAUUGCAUGAAAUUGAAAUGAAGUAUGAAUAUGUAUGAGCAUUUGAUGGUAUACUGAUUAGAAAGUGAAAAAUGUAUUGAAUCAAAUUGUGAUUAAAUUGGAAUGAUUUGAAUUGAAAGUAUGAGAAAGUGAUUGAAUUGAAAUGUGAUUAGGAAACCCUAUUAACUAGUCGGGCUGAAUCGGAUAUAAUUGGCAUGUCAUAGGAUUGGAAGAGUUCAGGGAAACUUCAACCUCGAGUCGAUGAGACACUGGGUGUCACUAUAUUUCUUCGGAUAGAUUCGAUGAGGUACUGGAUACCAACUUUCUUCGGCUUUGCCGAUGAGACACUAGGUGUCAACUAUUGCUUCGAACUAUCCGAUGAGGCACUGCGUGCCAUUCUGGUGUGUUUGGUUGGAUCCGUGUAUCUGCCAAAGUCCGAGUCAAGUUAAUAUGGG